ensembl:ncRNA lncRNA:CR45898 long non-coding RNA:CR45898
AGGCAGCACAAAGUCAAAGCGGAAGACAAAGCGGCGACCCGCCUAAGUGGAAAUCAAACAUUUGCCGAACAGCGGGCCAAGUUGCAACUUAAUGCCAAUAAUAUCCGCGCAUCGGGCGCAAAUGUUUGCCCUGUCUAUGUCUACGCUGCCCUCGAAUCGUAGUACCCUCGACCCCUCGAAUCCUCGUCCCUAGUCCUUAUCCCCCCGCCCCCUUCCAUUGUCUCCCCGGCACUUUAUUCCGCCGCUUUGAACUGGGUCAGCAUCGAUUUUUGGCCAGCGACGUGUCACAAUUAUCGCUGCCAGCGAUGGAUUCGAUGUCACCCAAAUGGCAGUUCUGCCUUAAAAUGCC